rnacentral:rRNA from 1 species
CCUACGGGUGGCAGCAUUGAGGAAUAUUGGUCAAUGGCCGUAAGGCUGAACCAGCCAAGUCGCGUGAGGGAUGACUGCCCUAUGGGUUGUAAACCUCUUUUAUGCGGGGGCAAAGGGGUCCACGUGUGGCUGUUUGCAGGUACCGCAUGAAUAAGGAUCGGCUAAUUCCGGGCCAGCAGCCGCGGUAAUACGGAGGGUCCGGGCGUUAUCCGGAUUUAUUGGGUUUAAAGGGUGCGAAGGCGGUCUUUCAAGUGUGCGGUAAAAUUUUGGGGCUCAACCCUGGCGUGCCGUUGAAACUGGGGUCCUUGAGUGCGCGAGAGGUAUGCGGAAUGCGUGGUGUAGCGGUGAAAUGCAUAGAUAUCACGCAGAACCCCGAUUGCGAAGGCAGCCUACCGGAGCUCAACUGACGCUGAAGCACGAAAGCGCGGGUAUCGAACAGGAUUAGAUACCCCUGUAGUC